GCUAUGAAAGAUAAAGAGGCUACAACAGCUGCCUAAAGUAGCUUAGGGCUAGGGACAAUGCAUGCACAGAUGACCAUUAUGCAGUGUGAUUCACGCCAUUUCAUAGGUGAGGAGAAAGUGAUGGCAGACCAUGGAGGCCCUGAGAGUAAUGAUGAAGCUUAAGGGGUCUAGGAGUUGACCACAUAGACAAAAGAGAGAAGAGAAUUUUAUCGUUUUUUUCUUCAUCUUUCUCCUUUUCUCUACUUCCUGAACAAUUCUUCACAAAGAUUUUAGCAGGGACCAAGCAGAGUGGUGUUUUCCAGGUACAGUGAGGGGAGCCUCCAUGGUCUCUCUAACAAGGGGAGGAAGGUGUCUACACAGGAGAGUCAGGGCCCAGCAUGGAGUGUUGGAGCCUAAGUGAGGCAAGAAAGGCUGCCACCGAGGAAAGUGUCCA
rnacentral:lncRNA from 1 species